UACAGAGGUCCCAAGCGUUGUUCGGAUUCAUUGGGCGUAAAGGGUGCGUAGGCGGCGCGGUAGUCGGGUGUGAAUCUCGGAGCUUAACUCCGAACUGCAUUCGAUACUGCCGUGCUUGAGGACUGGAGAGGAGACUGGAAUUCCUGGUGUAGCGGUGAAAUGCGCAGAGUAUCAGGAGGAACACCGGUGGCGAAGGCGGGUCUCUGGGCCGAGUACUGAC
rnacentral:rRNA from 1 species